rnacentral:rRNA from 1 species
AGUAAUACAUCGGAACGUGUCUUCUAGUGGGGGAUAACUGCCCGAAAGGGCAGCUAAUACCGCAUGAGACCUGAGGGUGAAAGCGGGGGAUCGCAAGACCUCGCGCUGGAAGAGCGGCCGAUGUCCGAUUAGCUAGUUGGUGAGGUAAAGGCUCACCAAGGCGACGAUCGGUAGCUGGUCUGAGAGGACGACCAGCCACACUGGGACUGAGACACGGCCCAA